GUCUUUUUGAUUAUAAUUUAAAGUCUGACCUGCCCAAUGAAAUUUUGAAUGGCCGCAGUAUUUUGACUGUGCAAAGGUAGCAUAAUCAUUAGUUUCUUAAUUAGAAACUGGAAUGAAAGGUUGAACGAGAAAAUAACUGUCUCAUUAUAAUUUUUUUAGAAUUUUAUUUUUAAGUUAAAAAGCUUAAAUUUAUUUAAAAGACGAGAAGACCCUAUAGAGUUUUAUAUAUAAUUUAAUAAUUUUAUUUAUUGUAUUAUUUAUAUAUUAUAAAUUUAUAUAUUUAAUUGGGGUGAUUAAAAAAUUUAUUUAACUUUUUUUUUAUUAUUACAUUUAUUUAUGAUUAAUUGAUCCAAAAUUUUUGAUUAUAAGAUUAAAUUACCUUAGGGAUAACAGCGUAAUUUUUUUUAAGAGUUCUUAUCGAUAAAAAAGUUUGCGACCUCGAUGUUGGAUUAAAAUUAAAUUUUGGUGUAGAAGCUAAAAUAUUAGGUCUGUUCGACCUUUAAAAUUUUACAUGAUCUGAGUUUAAACCGGUGUAAGCCAGGUUGGUUUCUAUCUUUAAAUUAAUAUAAAUAUUUUAGUACGAAAGGACCAAAUAUUAGUAAUAAUUAUAUAAUUUGAAUUAUAUUAAAUUAUUA
rnacentral:rRNA from 1 species